UCUCCCGUUGAUUGACAUUGUUUUCUGCUUUGCAUUUGCACAAUGGUUAUACCGUUUCUUAGCUUUUCCACAGCAGAUUUUCUGCUGAUCAUCAUCAUGAUCUGUGGUAAUUGUGCAUUUGCUCCAUUGUUUUCCCUAUUCUAUUGCUCUUGUUCCUUUGCUAGACAGAAAGAGCUACCUCAUAAGCACCAUUCUUCAUUUUCUUUAGCUAUUUUGAACCUUCCCUCUUUCCCAGUUUAUUGGUUUGGCUUUAAUUUGCACUGCUGCUAUAGUCGCUGCUUCCUGAAAUGUCUAACCUCCUGCCAAUUGGGGAUAUCAUGCCUGAUAUGAAAAACUGGUCUUGUAUCAUCACAGUUCAGGAAAAGCAACAGGUCACAGAUUCUAUGGGAACACCAACCAAAAAGCAAAAUUUUGUUUUCUAUGAUUCAGAGGGCUCUAAAGUUGAAGGGAUAAUCUUCAAUGCUGAUAUUCCGAGAAUGAGUCCUAUGCUGCAGGUUUAUAAGAGAUAUAAGAUUUCAAAUGCUGAUGUCAGGACUAUUCCGCUAAAGUUUCAAACUGCUGAAUUAACCAAACAGUGGGUGAUCACUUCAAAAACUGUCAUUGAUGAGGUCGAUGGGGAUGAAGACAUUAUGCCUAUUCAAUUUGCUUUCACUAAGUUUGCUGAUUUAGCUGAAUACAUGGAUGAUAGAAGCAAGUCCGUCGAUGUCCUCGGAGUGGUGAUCAGUUCAUUAGCCAUGAAGACAAUCACUAAGAACUCCAAACAGUCAAGCGUCCAAAAAUUUGUCCUCCUGAAUGAAGAGUCUCAAACUGUCCUGCUAUCUUUAUGGGAUGAUUUUCUGAACAAUGAAGGUCAAGUUAUAUUGAAUAACAUGCAAAGCUAUCCUGUUAUCAUUGGUCGAAGGCUGAAAGUUAACAACUACAAUGGCGUUUCUCUCUCUACUUGGUUCGAUUCUGCAUUGCUUGUUGAUCCACCAAUACAGGAAGCAAGACAGCUCAAAAAUUGGGCAAUGAGAAAUACUAAGUCAAUUGCAGAAAUCAUUGAUGCAAAAAGUUACAUUAAAUACAAUCCUGCACUUUCUUUAAAAGGGGACCAAAAAACUACUCUAAUUUGCAAUGUUACCCCAUCACAAAAGACUGCCUGGGUCAAGGCAAAGCUCUCCUUUGAACACAUCUUCCAGAAAUAUUGGUACAUGAGUUGUGCAAAGUGCUAUCGAGCUACAACAGCAGACUACGAAAUUGAAUUUACUUGUAAUUCAUGCAAGGAGAAAGGCGCUGCUAUGCCUAGAUGCCGCUUUGAUAUUGAUUUGAGCGAUGACAGUGGAGUUAUACCUGCUUCUAUCUUUGGAGAUCUAGCAGAAACUAUUCUCACCUUCACUGGUCUUGAAGCAAUGGAUCACUUUAAUCAGGACACGGUGGUUCUAGCUCAAAAGUGCGCCUUCGACUCAGCCAAAAGUUUGAUGAAACAGAGACUGUUGACACCAGUGACCUUGACAGUCCAGAUGCUGACUCCAAGAAGAAAGCAAAAUUAGAUCAAUGGCAGAAACAAUGUCUAUAUCUCCAGCGAAUUUCCCUCCGACAAACAGCUGUUUACCAGCUUGCUGUUUUCUACUCAAAUGCAUCCAUAGAGGACAGGUAUUACCUGCUCAGUUUCAAUUGUUGCUUCAUCAGCAUCAUUGCAAUAGAAUCAUUCUAAGGUUUGGACUGCGGCAAUGGGCCAUCGCAGUUACUGAUCGUGCAUUCGAAGAAGGAUGGGAUGCUUUUUGUGAACACAACAUUGUUAAGAGACAUGACACAAUUGUUACUUCGGCAUAGCGGAAAUCUGAUAUUUGUUGUCAUUCACUUUUGUGAGCUACAAAAACAAGUUUUAUUGCCCUGGACAGUUUCCCUACCAGACCUGUUGCACAUGAACGUCGUAGCA